rnacentral:rRNA from 1 species
GACGAACGCUGGCGGCGUGCUUAACACAUGCAAGUCGAACGGAAAGGCCCUGCUUGCAGGGUACUCGGGUGGCGAACGGGUGAGUAACACGUGGGUGAUCUGCCCUGCACUUCGGGAUAAGCCUGGGAAACUGGGUCUAAUACCGGAUAGGAGCCAUUUUUAGUGUGAUGGUUGGAAAGUUUUUUUCGGUGUAGGAUGAGCUCGCGGCCUAUCAGCUUGUUGGUGGGGUAAUGGCCUACCAAGGCGGCGACGGGUAGCCGGCCUGAGAGGGUGGACGGCCACAUUGGGACUGAGAUACGGCCCAGACUCCUACGGGAGGCAGCAGUGGGGAAUAUUGCACAAUGGGCGCAAGCCUGAUGCAGCGACGCCGCGUGGGGGAUGACGGCCUUCGGGUUGUAAACUCCUUUCGCUAGGGACGAAGCUUUUUGUGACGGUACCUAGAUAAGAAGCACCGGCUAACUACGUG